GGCGGAGAGCCAAGUUCUGACGC
rnacentral:tRNA from 1 species